rnacentral:lncRNA from 1 species
CUUUUCAUGAUAUAGAUUGAUAGUUAUUCUAUCAAUAACCAUCCUCUUUUGAGGUGGUUUUUCCUAUUUUGAUAACUUCGUCUUGAUGAUUACUAGUAGUUUCUUGUGUAAUAACUUGAUCCUACCUAAAUAACUUUUACCAAGUUGAACUACUUAUAUGGGACCUAUUGUAUGAGUGGUUCUCUAAAUGUUAGAAAUGAGAGCCGAUUAAAUCUUGGUUGAUCC